GGGGGUUUAGCUCAGUGGUAGAGCGCUUGCUUAGAAAGCACAAGGCCCUGGGUUCGGUCCCCAGCUCUG
rfam:Rattus norvegicus chromosome 8, whole genome shotgun sequence.